rnacentral:rRNA from 1 species
AUUGAACGCUGGCGGCAGGCUUAACACAUGCAAGUCGAACGAGUGGCGGACGGGUGAGUAAUGCUUGGGAAUCUGGCUUAUGGAGGGGGAUAACGACGGGAAACUGACGCUAAUACCGCCUUCCAUAGGAUGGGCCCAAGUGGGUUUAGGGAGUUGGUGGGGUAAUGGCCUACCAAGCCGACGAUCUGUUCCUGGUCUGAGAGGAUGACCAGCCAAACCGGGACUGAGACACGGCCCAGACUCCUACGGGAGGCAGCAGUGGGGAAUGUUGGACAAUGGGCGAAAGCCUGAUCCAGCCAUGCCGCGUGUGUGAAGAAGGCCUUCGGAUUGUAAAGCACUUUUGUCAGGGAAGCGGUACCUGCAGAAUAAGCACCGGCUAACUACGUGCCAGCAGCCGCGGUAAUUC